CAGCCUGAUGCAGCCAUGCCGCGUGUGUGAAGAAGGCCUUCGGGUUGUAAAGCACUUUCAGUCGUGAGGAAGGUAGUGUAGUUAAUAGCUGCAUUAUUUGACGUUAGCGACAGAAGAAGCACCGGCUAACUCCGUGCCAGCAGCCGCGGUAAUACGGAGGGUGCGAGCGUUAAUCGGAAUUACUGGGCGUAAAGCGCAUGCAGGUGGUUUGUUAAGUCAGAUGUGAAAGCCCGGGGCUCAACCUCGGAAUAGCAUUUGAAACUGGCAGACUAGAGUACUGUAGAGGGGGGUAGAAUUUCAGGUGUAGCGGUGAAAUGCGUAGAGAUCUGAAGGAAUACCGGUGGCGAAGGCGGCCCCCUGGACAGAUACUGACACUCAGAUGCGAAAGCGUGGGGAGCAAACAGGAUUAGAUACCCUGGUAGUCCACGCCGUAAACGAUGUCUACUUGGAGGUUGUGGCCUUGAGCCGUGGCUUUCGGAGCUAACGCGUUAAGUAGACCGCCUGGGGAGUACGGUCGCAAGAUUAAAACUCAAAUGAAUUGACGGGGGCCCGCACAAGCGGUGGAGCAUGUGGUUUAAUUCGAUGCAACGCGAAGAACCUUACCUACUCUUGACAUCCAGAGAACUUUCCAGAGAUGGAUUGGUGCCUUCGGGAACUCUGAGACAGGUGCUGCAUGGCUGUCGUCAGCUCGUGUUGUGAAAUGUUGGGUUAAGUCCCGCAACGAGCGCAACCCUUAUCCUUGUUUGCCAGCGAGUAAUGUCGGGAACUCCAGGGAGACUGCCGGUGAUAAACCGGAGGAAGGUGGGGACGACGUCAAGUCAUCAUGGCCCUUACGAGUAGGGCUACACACGUGCUACAAUGGCGCAUACAGAGGGCAGCCAACUUGCGAAAGUGAGCGAAUCCCAAA
rnacentral:rRNA from 1 species